UACGUAGGGUGCGAGCGUUGUCCGGAAUUACUGGGCGUAAAGAGCUCGUAGGUGGUUUGUCGCGUUGUUCGUGAAAACUCACAGCUUAACUGUGGGCGUGCGGGCGAUACGGGCAGACUGGAGUACUGCAGGGGAGACUGGAAUUCCUGGUGUAGCGGUGGAAUGCGCAGAUAUCAGGAGGAACGCCGGUGGCGAAGGCGGGUCUCUGGGCAGUAACUGACGCUGAGGAGCGAAAGCGUGGGGAGCGAACAGG
rnacentral:rRNA from 1 species